AAUUUCAUCUAAAGCUAAAUAUUGGCCAGAGACCGAUAGCGCACAAGUAGAGUGAUCGAAAGAUGAAAAGCACUUUGAAAAGAGAGUUAAACAGUAUGUGAAAUUGUUGAAAGGGAAGCGCUUGCAACCAGACUUGAGCGCGGCGGUUCCCCCUUCCUUUUGGUUGGGUUACUCCGCCGUGUCCAGGCCAACAUCGGUUCUGGGGGUCGGUUAAAGGCCCGAGGAAUGUAUCUACUCCUUCGGGGGUAGACUUAUAGCCUCGGGUGUCAUGCGACCUCCCGGGACCGAGGAACGCGCUUCGGCUCGGAUGUUGGCGUAAUGGUUGUCAGCGA
rnacentral:rRNA from 1 species